UUGAACGCUGGCGGCAUGCCUUACACAUGCAAGUCGAACGGCAGCAUGAUCUAGCUUGCUAGAUUGAUGGCGAGUGGCGAACGGGUGAGUAAUACAUCGGAACGUGCCCUGUAGUGGGGGAUAACUAGUCGAAAGAUUAGCUAAUACCGCAUACGACCUGAGGGUGAAAGUGGGGGACCGCAAGGCCUCAUGCUAUAGGAGCGGCCGAUGUCUGAUUAGCUAGUUGGUGGGGUAAAGGCCCACCAAGGCGACGAUCAGUAGCUGGUCUGAGAGGACGAUCAGCCACACUGGGACUGAGACACGGCCCAGACUCCUACGGGAGGCAGCAGUGGGGAAUUUUGGACAAUGGGCGAAAGCCUGAUCCAGCAAUGCCGCGUGUGUGAAGAAGGCCUUCGGGUUGUAAAGCACUUUUGUCCGGAAAGAAAUGGCUCUGGUUAAUACCUGGGGUCGAUGACGGUACCGGAAGAAUAAGGACCGGCUAACUACGUGCCAGCAGCCGCGGUAAUACGUAGGGUCCAAGCGUUAAUCGGAAUUACUGGGCGUAAAGCGUGCGCAGGCGGUUGUGCAAGACCGAUGUGAAAUCCCCGAGCUUAACUUGGGGAAUUGCAUUGGUGACUGCACGGCUAGAGUGUGUCAGAGGGGGGGUAGAAUUCCACGUGUAGCAGUGAAAUGCGUAGAGAUGUGGAGGAAUACCGAUGGGCGAAGGCAGCCCCCUGGGAUAACACUGACGCUCAUGCACGAAAGCGUGGGGGAGCAAACAGGAUUAGAUACCCUGGUAGUCCACGCCCUAAACGAUGUCAACUAGUUGUUGGGGAUUCAUUUCCUUAGUAACGUAGCUAACGCGUGAAGUUGACCGCCUGGGGAGUACGGUCGCAAGAUUAAAACUCAAAGGAAUUGACGGGGACCCGCACAAGCGGUGGAUGAUGUGGAUUAAUUCGAUGCAACGCGAAAAACCUUACCUACCCUUGACAUGCCACUAACGAAGCAGAGAUGCAUUAGGUGCUCGAAAGAGAAAGUGGACACAGGUGCUGCAUGGCUGUCGUCAGCUCGUGUCGUGAGAUGUUGGGUUAAGUCCCGCAACGAGCGCAACCCUUGUCUCUAGUUGCUACGAAAGGGCACUCUAGAGAGACUGCCGGUGACAAACCGGAGGAAGGUGGGGAUGACGUCAAGUCCUCAUGGCCCUUAUGGGUAGGGCUUCACACGUCAUACAAUGGUGCAUACAGAGGGUUGCCAAGCCGCGAGGUGGAGCUAAUCCCAGAAAAUGCAUCGUAGUCCGGAUCGUAGUCUGCAACUCGACUACGUGAAGCUGGAAUCGCUAGUAAUCGCGGAUCAGCAUGCCGCGGUGAAUACGUUCCCGGGUCUUGUACUCACCGC
rnacentral:rRNA from 1 species